UGACCAGUAUGGUAAUGUGGGGUUCCGGUGAUCAGUAUGGGUGUAAGGUGACAAGUAUGGGUAUAAGGUGACAAGUAUGGGUGUAAGGUGACAAGUAUGGGUGUAAGGUGACCAGUAUGGGUGUAAGGUGAUCAGUAUGGUAAUGUGGGGUUUCGGUGAUCAGUAUGGGUGUAAGGUGACCAGUAUGGGUGUAAGGUGACCAGUAUGGGUGUAAGGUGACAAGUAUGGGUGUAAGGUGACAAGUAUGGGUGUAAGGUGACAAGUAUGGGUGUAAGGUGACCAGUAUGGUAAUGUGGGGUUCCGGUGACCAGUAUGGGUGUAUGGUGACAAGUAUGGGUGUAAGGUGACAAGUAUGGGUGUAAGGUGACAAGUAUGGGUGUAAGGUGACAAGUAUGGGUGUAAGGUGACCAGUAUGGUAAUGUGGGGUUCCGGUGACCAGUAUGGGUGUAUGGUGACAAGUAUGGGUGUAAGGUGACAAG